rnacentral:rRNA from 1 species
AUGCUCGCCCAGGGGAUAAUCCAAGCCAGCUCCAGCCCGUUCGCAUCUCCGGUUCUUUUGGUGCAGAAAAAGGACCUUACCUGGCGAUUUUGUGUAGACUAUCGGCAUCUCAAUGCAGUCACUGUCAAGAAUCGCUACCCUCUGCCUGUGAUUGAAGAACUUCUUGACGAGCUAGCAGGGUCACGGUUCUUUACCAGCUUGGGUCUAAGGGCAGGUUACCACCAGAUUCGCAUGCAACCGGAGGAUGAGCAUAAAACAACGUUUAAAACCCACCACGGGCACUUUGAAUUCAAAGUAAUGCCGUACGGUGUCACAGGGGGUCCGUCAACUUUCCAAGGGGGUUAG